rnacentral:lncRNA from 1 species
GGCAGACGAAGGUAUGGGGUGCAGACCCUGGACCCCAUAGCAAGCUCUGGGCAGGUGAGAGCAGCCCCAGUUUGCCCAGUGCUGCCCAGUUUGUUCCCACUCUGCAGGCAAGAGCCCACGCAGAGGAGGGAUGGAGGCAGAGCCCCAGGCCGUGCCCAGGGUGCUGCACUGGGAGCUGCCAGGAAACCAGGAAACCAAUCCUGUCAUCUCAGGAGGCUUCUGUUCCAACACGAACACCACUUCCCCGAGGGUGUUCUCAUUUCAACCUGGAAAAAAAAAACCACGAGGGGUUCGUUUUCAAAACACAGUUUGUGCUUUGUCCUCAGGGGCCUUGCCAAGGCCCCAUCCAGCCGGGCCUCCAGCACCGCCCGGGACGGGGCAUCCACAGCUCCUGCGGGCAGCCCGUGCCGGCCCCUCAGCGCCCUGCCCCUGCGGGUGCCCGGUGGCUGCGCUGUGGCUUUGUGCUGCCCCCUCACAUUCCUGCCCCGCUGCCUCACGCGGGCCCAGGCGGCCAAACGGCUGCUGCGCUGGGGGGGUGGCGGUGGUGGUGAGGGGGGUGCUUUCUCAGCGCAAAGCCCAGUUUGGGCCCGAACCCAGUCGCGAGGCGGCUGUAGGCAAGCCCCGUCCGUGUGCGCACACACACUGAGUCGCGAUAUGUCGGCGCGGGGCAGGGCCUCGAGCUCCCCGCCCGCCCGCUCGCUGGGCCGGCGCCGCGGUUGCCAUGGCGACAGCCCGCUCGGCCCCCUCCCCUCCGGGGGUUGCCAUAGCAGCGGGGCAGCCAAUCGGCGGCCGCCACUCAGGGGAAGGGGGGGGCAAGGCGCGGGGAAGGCUUUGCCGGUGGCGCUGCCGGAAGUGGCGGCGGGGCCGGGCCCGGAAGUGCGGCCGGCGGGGCGGGAGGGCCCGGAGGGGCGGCGGGGACGGGACGGGACGGAGCCGCGCGGCGGCUGCACCCGCACCCGCAGCAGAAGCGGCGGCGGCUCCGGCUCCGGCUCCGGCUCCAGCUCCUCCUCCUCCUCCCGGUGCGGCCCGUGCCCGGCCGGAGCGCGGCCCCCGGCCCCUCCCCUCCCGCCCCUCCCCGCGGCCCUGCACGGGAAGAUGGCGGCGGCGGCCGGAGGCGGCGGCGGCAGCGGCGGCGGCCUGGGGGCGUGGGGCCGGCCCGGCCUGUGA